GCGAGUGCGAGCUUUGAACCGUUGACCGUUGGAGUGGCAGGAGCGGAAGGUGGAAGCUGGUGCGUUAGUGUGCGCUUUGUAUCAACCUGUGUUUUUGAAAGUGUGAUAGAUGCCAGUUCCAGAUACACGGAUAUACGCCAAGCAAAAGCGCACUGGUCCUCUGAGGUGCAGAAUACCGAAAUUGCAUUCCAGGAAGCGUUGUGUACGUACGGAAAUCCACACUGACAUGACAAGGAACCCGGCAAAUAUAUAAAAACCGCCUGAAAGUCAAGCUUCAUGAUACUGGAAAGCAAGUCACAAAGCAUGCCUCCUCCAGAAGAGGCUUGUUGCGAAGAAACCCUGUUUGUUAGCUGUGUAAUUAUACUUUACAUAUACACGGAUAUACGCCAAGCAAAAGCGCACUGGUCCUCUGAGGUGCAGAAUACCGAAAUUGCAUUCCCGGAAGCGUUGUGUACGUACGGAAAUCCACACUGACAUGCCAAGGAACCCGGCAAAUAUAUAAAGACCGCCUGAAAGUCAAGCUUCAUGAUACUGGAAAGCAAGUCACAAAGCAUGGCUCCUCCAGAAGAGGCUUGUUGCGAAGAAACCCUGUUUGUUAGCUAUGUAAUUAUACUUUACAUAUACACGGAUACACGGAUAUACGCCAAGCAAAAGCGCACUGGUCCUCUGAGGUGCAGAAUACCGAAAUUGCAUUCCCGGAAGCGUUGUGUACGUACGGAAAUCCACACUGACAUGCCAAGGAACCCGGCAAAUAUAUAAAGACCGCCUGAAAGUCAAGCUUCAUGAUACUGGAAAGCAAGUCACAAAGCAUGCCUCCUCCAGAAGAGGCUUGUUGCGAAGAAACCCUGUUUGUUAGCUAUGUAAUUAUACUUUACAUAUACACGGAUACACGGAUAUACGCCAAGUAAAAGCGCACUGGUAAGAAUGAGAAUAGUCGUAUCUUAUCGAAGGUAGUUAGGACGUGCAGAAACCGGAAUUGCAGUAUUCACAUUUGAUCGAUUAUUUUCAGGUCCUCUGAGGUGCAGAAUACCGAAAUUGCAUUCCCGGAAGCGUUGUGUACGUACGGAAAUCCACACUGACAUGCCAAGGAACCCGGCAAAUAUAUAAAAACCGCCUGAAAGUCAAGCGUCAUGAUACUGGAAAGCAAGUCACAAAGCAUGCCUCCUCCAGAAGAGGCUUGUUGCGAAGAAACCCUGUUUGUUAGCUGUGUAAUUAUACUUUACAUAUACACGGAUAUACGCCAAGCAAAAGCGCACUGGUCCUCUGAGGUGCAGAAUACCGAAAUUGCAUUCCCGGAAGCGUUGUGUACGUACGGAAAUCCACACUGACAUGCCAAG